rnacentral:rRNA from 1 species
GACGAACGCUGGCGGCGUGCCUAAUACAUGCAAGUAGAACGCUGAAGGAGGAGCUUGCUCUUCUGGAUGAGUUGCGAACGGGUGAGUAACGCGUAGGUAACCUGCCUGGUAACGGGGGAUAACUAUUGGAAACGAUAGCUAAUACCGCAUAAGAGUAGAUGUUGCAUGACAUUUACUUAAAAGGUGCAAUUGCAUCACUACCAGAUGGACCUGCGUUGUAUUAGCUAGUUGGUGGGGUAACGGCUUACCAAGGCGACGAUACAUAGCCGACCUGAGAGGGUGAUCGGCCACACUGGGACUGAGACACGGCCCAGACUCCUACGGGAGGCAGCAGUAGGGAAUCUUCGGCAAUGGACGGAAGUCUGACCGAGCAACGCCGCGUGAGUGAAGAAGGUUUUCGGAUCGUAAAGCUCUGUUGUAAGAGAAGAACGAGUGUGAGAGUGGAAAGUUCACACUGUGACGGUAUCUUACCAGAAAGGGACGGCUAACUACGUG